rnacentral:rRNA from 1 species
AGUGAACGCUGGCGGUAGGCCUAACACAUGCAAGUCGAACGGCAGCACAGUAAGAGCUUGCUCUUACGGGUGGCGAGUGGCGGACGGGUGAGGAAUACAUCGGAAUCUACUUUUUCGUGGGGGAUAACGUAGGGAAACUUACGCUAAUACCGCAUACGACCUACGGGUGAAAGCAGGGGAUCUUCGGACCUUGCGCGAUUGAAUGAGGCGAUGUCGGAUUAGCUAGUUGGCGGGGUAAAGGCCCACCAAGGCGACGAUCCGUAGCUGGUCUGAGAGGAUGAUCAGCCACACUGGAACUGAGACACGGUCCAGACUCCUACGGGAGGCAGCAGUGGGGAAUAUUGGACAAUGGGCGCAAGCCUGAUCCAGCCAUACCGCGUGGGUGAAGAAGGCCCUCGGGUUGUAAAGCCCUUUUGUUGGGAAAGAAAAGCAGCAGGUUAAUACCCCGCUGUUCUGACGGUACCCAAAGAAUAAGCACCGGCUAACUUCGUG